rnacentral:rRNA from 1 species
UCCGGUUGAUCCUGCCRGACCCGACUGCUAUCAGAGUGAGAUUAAGCCAUGCGAGUCAACGUAGCAAUACGUGGCACACGGCUCAGUAACACGUAGUCAACAUAACCAAAGGACGUGGAUAAACUCGGGAAACUGAGGCUAGACCGCGAUAGACCAAGAUACCUGGAAUGGUUUUUGAUUAAAAUCUAUAUGGCCUUUGGAUUGGACUGCGACCGAUCAGGCUGUUGGUGAGGUAAUGGCCCACCAAACCUGUAACCGGUACGGGCUCUGAGAGGAGGAGCCCGGAGAUGGGUACUGAGACAAGGACCCAGGCCCUAUGGGGCGCAGCAGGCGCGAAACCUCUGCAAUAGGCGAAAGCCUGACAGGGUUACUCUGAGUGAUUUCCGUUAAGGAGAUCUUUUGGCACCUCUAAAAAUGGUGCAGAAUAAGGGGUGGGCAAGUCUGGUGUCAGCCGCCGCGGUAAUACCAGCACCCCGAGUGGUCGGGACGUUUAUUGGGCCUAAAGCAUCCGUAGCCGGUUCCACAAGUCUUCCGUUAAAUCCACCUGCUCAACAGAUGGGCUGCGGAAGAUACUAUGGAGCUAGGAGGCGGGAGAGGCAAGCGGUACUCGAUGGGUAGGGGUAAAAUCCGUUGAUCCAUUGAAGACCACCAGUGGCGAAGGCGGCUUGCCAGAACGCGCUCGACGGUGAGGGAUGAAAGCUGGGGGAGCAAACCGGAUUAGAUACCCGGGUAGUCCCAGCUGUAAACGAUGCAGACUCGGUGAUGAGUUGGCUUCAUGCCAACUCAGUGCCGCAGGGAAGCCGUUAAGUUUGCCGCCUGGGGAGUACGGUCGCAAGACUGAAACUUAAAGGAAUUGGCGGGGGAGCACCACAAGGGGUGAAGCCUGCGGUUCAAUUGGAKUCAACGCCGGRA